rnacentral:rRNA from 1 species
CAGGGUUUGAUCAUGGCUCAGGACGAACGCUGGCGGCGUGCCUAAUACAUGCAAGUCGAACGCUUCUUUUUCCACCGGAGCUUGCUCCACCGGAAAAAGAGGAGUGGCGAACGGGUGAGUAACACGUGGGUAACCUGCCCAUCAGAAGGGGAUAACACUUGGAAACAGGUGCUAAUACCGUAUAACAAUCGAAACCGCAUGGUUUUGAUUUGAAAGGCGCUUUCGGGUGUCGCUGAUGGAUGGACCCGCGGUGCAUUAGCUAGUUGGUGAGGUAACGGCUCACCAAGGCCACGAUGCAUAGCCGACCUGAGAGGGUGAUCGGCCACAUUGGGAC